rnacentral:rRNA from 1 species
AGUGAACGCUGGCGGCGUGCCUAAUACAUGCAAGUCGAACGAAGUGGCGCACGGGUGAGUAAUAUAUAGUUAAUCUGCCCUACACAGAGGAACAACAGUUGGAAACGACUGCUAAUACCUCAUAGGGUAGGGUGAGACUAUAUCGUAUCAGCUAGUUGGUAAGGUAAUGUCUUACCAAGGCUAUGACGCGUAACUGGUCUGAGAGGAUGAUCAGUCAAUUUGUACGUGAGACAGGGUCAAAACUCCUACGGGAAGCAGCAGUAAGGUAAAUGGCGCAAUGGGGGAAACCCUGACGCAGCAACGCCGCGUGGAGCAUGACACUUUUCGGAGCGUAAACUCCUUUUUUAAGGAAAGCGGUACCUGAUGAAUAAGCACCGGCUAACUCCGUGCCAGCCGCCGCGGUAAUAC